rnacentral:rRNA from 1 species
UGGAGGACCGAACCCACUAACGUUGAAAAGUUAGGGGAUGACCUGUGGUUAGGAGUGAAAGGCUAAUCAAACCGGGAGAUAGCUGGUUCUCCCCGAAAUCUAUUUAGGUAGAGCCUCGGACGAAUACUUACGGGGGUAGAGCACUGUUAAGGCUAGGGGGUCAUCCCGACUUACCAACCCUUUGCAAACUCCGAAUACCGUAAAGUAAUAUCCGGGAGACACACGGCGGGUGCUAACGUCCGUCGUGAAGAGGGAAACAACCCAGACCGCCAGCUAAGGUCCCAAAGUCAUAGUUAAGUGGGAAACGAUGUGGAAAGGCCCAGACAGCCAGGAGGUUGGCUUAGAAGCAGCCAUCCUUUAAAGAAAGCGUAAUAGCUCACUGGUCGAGUCGGUCUGCGCGGAAGAUGUAACGGGGCUAAACUAUGCACCGAAGCUGCGGAUUCAUCUUAGGAUGAGUGGUAGGGGAGCGUUCUGUAAGCGGUUGAAGGUGUACCGGGAGGUAUGCUGGACGUAUCAGAAGUGCGAAUGCUGACAUGAGUAACGAUAAUGCGGGUGAAAAACCCGCACGCCGGAAGACCAAGGGUUCCUAUCCCAUGUUAAUCAGGGUAGGGUAAGUCGACCCCUAAGGCGAGGCCGAAAGGCGUAGUCGAUGGGAAACGGAUUAAUAUUUCCGUACUUGGUAUAAUUGCGAUGGGGGGACGGAGCAGGCUAAGCAAGCAUGGCGAUGGUAGUCCAUGUGAAAGUGUGUAGGCUAGUGACUUAGGUAAAUCCGGGUUGCUGUUAGGCUGAGACACGAGACGAGUCACCAAGGUGAUGAAGUUGCUGAUGCCAUACUUCCAGGAAAAGCCUCUAAGCUUCAGAUUAUACCGAAUCGUACCCCAAACCGACACAGGUGGUCAGGUAGAGAAUACUAAGGCGCUUGAGAGAACUCGGGUGAAGGAACUAGGCAAAAUCGUACCGUAACUUCGGGAGAAGGUACGCUCCG